UGGGGAAUAUUGCACAAUGGGGGAAACCCUGAUGCAGCGACGCCGCGUGAACGAAGAAGGUAUUCGUAUCGUAAAGUUCUGUCCUAUGGGAAGAUAAUGACAGUACCAUAGAAGAAAGCUCCGGCUAAAUACGUGCCAGCAGCCGCGGUAAUACGUAGGGAGCGAGCGUUGUCCGGAAUUAUUGGGCGUAAAGGGUACGCAGGCGGUUUAAUAAGUCGAAUGUUAAAGAUCGGGGCUCAACCCCGCAAAGCAUUGGAAACUGAUAAACUUGAGUAGUGGAGAGGAAAGUGGAAUUCCUAGUGUAGUGGUGAAAUGCGUAGAUAUUAGGAGGAAUACCAGUAGCGAAGGCGACUUGCUGGACAGGAACUGAAGCUGAGGUACGAAAGCGUGGGGAGCAAACAGG
rnacentral:rRNA from 1 species